AACGAACGCUGGCGGCAUGCCUAACACAUGCAAGUCGAACGAGACCUACCGGUCCCGCGGCGCACGGGCGCGUAACGCGCGGGAAACUGCCCUUAGGUGCGGAAUAACUUCCCGAGACGGGUGCUAAUAUCGUACAACGUCAUCGGACCAAGGAUUUAUCGCCUUUGGAUGGGCCCGCGUCGGAUUAGCUAGUUGGUAGGGUAAAAGCCUACCAAGGCGACGAACCAUAGCUGGUCUGAGAGGAUGAUCAGCCACACUGGGACUGAGACACGGCCCAGACUCGUACGGGAGGCAGCAGUGGGAAAUAUUGAACAAUGGACGAAAGCCUGAGCCAGAAGGGCCGCGUGAGUGAUGAAGGCCUUAGGGUGGUAAAGCUCUGUUACCCGGGAUGAUAAUGACAGUACCGGGAGAAUAAGCACCGGCUAACUCCGUG
rnacentral:rRNA from 1 species